rnacentral:tmRNA from 1 species
GGGGCUGUCUUGGCUUCGACAGGAAUACAAUGCCUUAUUUUGCAGGUCGACCGUUCACGUUAAGAACACAAAAAAAUAACUGGAAACAGAAAUAAUUUAGCUGUUGCAUACGCUUAAUUUAGCGGCACAGACUUCUCUAUUACUUUUGCUUACGAGUAAUAUAGAAGUUAAUAAAGUAAGCUAUAAUAUAUUCCAUUUCUAUAAAAUAUAUCGAAUUUAAUAGAAUAGUAAAUAUCAUUUUUGUUAAUUUAUAAAAUAUUUAUGAAAUAAUUAAAUUAACUAAACCUGUAGAUAAAUAUCGAUGAGUAUUUUUGGACAGGGGUUCAAUUCCCCUCAGCUCCACCA